GCUCCUCGGUCUCUUUCGACCUCACUCUUCUCUCUCUCUCUCUCUCUCUCUCUCUCUCUCUCUCUCUCUCUCUCUCUCUCUCUCCCUCCACUCUCUUUUUCACCAGACAGUCUGCAGUUUACAGCAGCAGGAAGAAGACACCGGAGAGGCACCAGAGAGGAAAAAAAGAAAGGGAAAGAGUGUGAUAAAUGGCAGACAAGGAGGAGGGGGAAGAAAAAACAAGGACAAGGAAGGAAGAGUGGGGAUUUGGGGAAGAGUACAUGAGUGAAAGAUGGGUACAGAGGAUGAAAGAGACAGUGGUGGCUCGUUUUUUUUCAAUGGGAGGGGUAAAUAAGGAGGUGUAGAGACAGAGGGAUGCAGAGAAAAGAAGGAUGAAGACACUACUGCUCCUGCAGAAGAGGAUGGUGGCCAGAUAGACAUGAUGGGUGCUUCCUGAACUGAUGGUCACAUGACAACAAAUGUGCACAGUUGUCUAAAGAGGGGCUGCAACAAUAUGUGGAGCCCUGUGUUGUCAUGAUUUCACAUGGUUAGUCCAGGUAAGUCCCUCUAACAUAUAGUCACAUAAUGUAUUGUUAAACAAAAGGACAUACAGUGGUAGAGGAAAAAACUAAAACUUACUGUCUAAUUACCAGUUGAGACAAACAUACACCAUCACAUUCAAAAUCAUGCACAGAGAAAACCCAGGAUCCUCAACCCAGUCAUUGCAGUAAGGCUUUCCAGCACUACAUGUCCCCACAAUCCACAGCACUGCUUGUACAGUAUGCAUUUUUAACUGUGUAGUUCUGCGUAGUUUUUAUUACAUUUAUACAGAUACCUGAAGUAUAGCAUGAUUAUGCACUGUAGGGACAUAUUUAUAAAAUGAUGCACACAACAGUUUUUAUUUCUGAUACCUUCCAUUGUCGACCAAGCCCUGCAAAGUACCUGCAAAAAAGAAUGAUACUGGCAAAUUUGACCAAUCCCCACCCGUU